rnacentral:misc_RNA from 1 species
AUCAGGUCCGCGGGCUCCGCG